rnacentral:piRNA from 1 species
UUCAAACUUCAAUAAAAAAUG